GUUACAAUAAGGAUGAAUUCAGACCAAAGAAUUGCAACUGAAGGAUUUAAAUGUGAAAAAGAAGGAUUUAAAAGUACGAUAUGUCUCCUUCGAGUUCUCAGUUAAUUGUUUUUUUUUUUUUCAGAUCUAAAGACAUCAUUUCCCUCUGAACCUGUCUGUGGUCCUGAGAUCUAAAACAAAAUGACCACAUGUUCUUACAAUGUUUAUAGAAAACCUGGUCCCACCCCGGAUAUGAUGUCAUAGUAAACAAGGAACUACGGCUUCCUAAACAUGUGAGAAUAUGAAAGCAGCUCAUCGUGAAGCAAGAGCAGAAGAGGAAGAAAGAGCCGUACAAAGAGUUGUUUUAUUUUAUCAUCCUGGGCUUACAGCUGAUCUGUGGAAACGUGCUGGAUUUGGAAAUGCUGGUGGUAAACUUUAAUUUGAAGGCUGUAUUUACAAUCAAGAAAAUAACACUAAAUGCUAAUAAAAGAUAUUUCAAACAGUU